UUCUUUUAAACCCCCUCUCCGUGUCCACCGAACCCCUAGGGUUUUCCUCUUCCCUCCUCUACCGCCGCCAGGAAUGUAGAGCCACCAGAUCCGCCGCUAGAACCCCGUCCCGAGCGCGUCUAGGAGCACGGCCUUGUUGCCGUCGUGCUCACCAUCAUCCUCCGCCUCGCCGACCGUGUCCCUCUUCUUCCUCGACGUCCACUACGUCCACGACAUCGACUACGUGGAGCUGGAACCCGUUGCUGCGCCGUCUUCUUCCUCGUCUUCGACUCCGGCCACCACAGUUGUUCGAUCGCCCUCACCGUCGUCUCCGUCCACUUCACGUCAAGUCGAACACCCCAUCGUGUUCGUGGUGAGCUAGCGCGUCUCCCCAUCCCCUUUUCCCUCUCGUUUGCGCGCUCUGCCGUAGAUUGCCACGAGCACCCGAACGCGCCGCCGUCGGACCUCGUCUCCGGCGAGUGCUCCGCCCCCCUCUUGCUUGUUGCGCAUGUCCGGCGUGUUCCCUGCGUCGCGGUCGCACAAUCCAUGCUCGCUGUCGCCCGUUUAGUUACCCGCCUCGUCGCGUCUAUCUUCGCCGCGCCGUCUCUGUAGCACGUCGCCGGUGACGCAUGCGUCGUCGUUCCGCGAUAUAGGUUGCACCCGCAAGUGCGGGAUCGCCUGGCGGUCUCGUUGCUCUGCUCCUCCUCCUCAUUUGGUCACCGGAGCAACUCCGGUAGCCUCCUACGCCAUCCCUGCACCCCGGCGAAGUCCUAUGCUUCUCCCCUAUUUUCUCUCUCUAAAGUAUGGGCCUCCCGCUCGCUAGACUUGAGUCAAAGGAGUCUGAGCCCACCAUCUGUCACGCGCACAUGCACGGCCGGACUGGUCUGCAUCCCGCGCACCCACAACAGCGACCUCGGUUCGAAUCCCAGGCUCGCCCCUUUUUCCCUCUGUUGGGAAUUAAUAGUUUUCUGAAUGACAUCUAGGGCCCACUUGUCAUACUCACACACGCGCCAUGGCCCACCAGUCAGCCUCUCAGCGCCCUCCUCCUUUUUUUUCUUAUCUCAGCGAAUAUUCCAUUUCUGGCAUAUGCUAGCUUUCCAAUUCAAGCAAGUCCAUUUAUGGACAUUUCCCUUUGAGGAAAAUGCCUUUUCUGUCAUUAGCCAUUUUAGGCAGGGUUGCAUUUAGCAUAAUUGUGAGCAUUUUUCCAUGGCAACCCCCACUUAUUAUACAUGUUUUUGGGCUAGAAAAAUCCAAUGAAUCCAUUGGUGGCAUCCGUUUCUUCUUUUGAGCAAGUUUGCACACAUGUCAUUUUUACAUUACCUUGCUAUUUUGUCUUUUAUGUGGAUAAUUAUGCAAAAGUGAUAUGUGACAACUUUGUUCAUGAACAUGCUCUUUUACAUGCCAUAUUCAUGCUAGAAUUUAUUCCAUGUCAUAAAAUGCCUUGUAUUGAGUUAAACAAGCUUGUAAACAUGCUAUCAUGAAUCUGUUUCUGCCAUGCCAUGAAAUUCUACCAAGUCUGGGUCAGUUCAUAUCACUUGCCAUGUUUGCAUUGAUGCUAUCAUCAUUUCUGUAGAUCUUUAGAGCAAGUCCAGUAAGGGAGUUUUGUUAAGUGCAUUUAGUACUAGCAUGCCAUGCUCAAGUUUGCCACGAUAGGUUCCUGUAAUAUGUAGUUUACUAGGUCGAAACUUUGCAACCUGAUGCUGUUUCUGCCAUGUCCAGUAUAUUCUGCCAAGUCUGUAAAACUAUUAGCAUUAGCAUUUUUUCCAUGCUGUUUUAAACAUGUUCUUGUGAGUUUUAGCAGUAGCUUAGUAAUCAUAUUUUGUAGUGCUUGACUUGUACUUUAAUGCCAUGCCAUUCAUUUUCAUGUUGCUGUGCUGUAGCAUAUUUAAACUUUGCAUCCAAGUUGUCAUGUUGCUGUUUUCAACAGCCUGCAUUGUAUAUGGUUUUGCUUGUCAUUUUCAAACUGUGCAUCCGUUUCUGGUGGUCUUUAUAUCGAUUUCAACCAAAAUCUUCUGACCUAUCCAGUGGCAUGCUUGGGUUACCAAGAUGGUGCCAUGUUCAUUGUUUCUCCUUCCGUCUCGAAUGCACCCCUUCCGAAACACCUCAUCCGCAUAUGCACAUCAUAUCUUGCAUUUUAUGACAUGUCUUGCAUCAUGUUGCUUGCUCAUUGCACCGUGAUUGAUUGUUGUUCCAAUGUUUGUGUUCUUGCUUUGGGUAGAGCCAGGAGACGAGUUCGUGAACGAGGACCCUGUCGAGUACGUUCACGAGGAGCAAGGAUUCGAUACCACUGAGAACAUUGCACACGAGAUGAUCAUUACCCCCGAUAUCACUUCUAUCUUUGCUUGCUAGUUGUUCGUUCUAUCGCUAUGUCGCGCUACCUACCACUUGUUAUACAACCUCUCAAAUUGCCAUGUCAAGCCUCUAACCCACCUUCCUAGCAAACCGUUGUUUGGCUAUGUUACCGCUUUUGCUCAGCCCCUCCUAUAGCGUUGCUAGUUGUAGGUGUAGUGCAGGUUGUUCCAUGUUGGAACAUGGAUAUGUUGGCAUAUCACAAUAUCUCUUAUUUAAUUAAUGCAUCUAUACACUUGGUAAAGGGUGGAAGGCUUGGCCUUUUGCUCGGUGUUUUGUUCCACUCUUGCCGCCUUAGUUUCCGUCAUACCGGUGUUAUGUUCCUUGAAUUUUGCGUCCCUAACACGGUGGGGGUUUAUGGGGCCCCCUUGACAGUUCGCUUUGAAUAAAACUCUUCCAGCAAGGCCCAACUUUAGUUUUACCAUUUGCCUAAUAACAACUAAAAUUUGCAUAGGAGUAAUUAACCUGAGGAUUCUUAAUCAACCCCCGGGCCAAUGCUCCUCAUGAGUGUUGGUCCAAACUAGAGCACUGUGCGGGGCCACCCCAGGGCAACCUGGGUUAUUUUGGCACCUGUACACGUAGCUCAUCUGCCGUGACCUGAGACGAGAUAUGUGCAGCUACUAUCAGGGUGUCGGCACGUCGGGAGGUCUUGCUGGUUUUGUUUUCCCAUUGUCAAAAUGUCUUGUGCACCGGGAUUUCGAGUCUGAUUAGAGGGUCCCGCGAUGGAGGAUUGUCUCUGCGGAUCGUGAGCUUGUCAUGGGCUAAGUUGGGACACCCUGCAGGGUUUAAACUUUCGAGAGCCAUGCCCGCGGUUAUGUGGCAGAUGAGAGUUUUUAAUCCGGUUGUAGUGAACUUGAAGCUAAUCUCAUUAAAACACACGAACCGCGUGCGUAACCGUGAUGGUCUCUUUUCGACGAGGUUCGGGAAGAGAACACAGUGGGGUUAUGUUUGAACGUAAGUAGUUCAGGAUCACUUCUUGACCAUUACUAGAUCGUGACCAUUUGCGUAGCUUCUCAUCUUAUUCUUGUAUUCGUAAGUUAGCUGCCAUACAAAUGCUUAGUGCUUGCUACAAAUUCACCACUUAAGCAUGCCAUACCUAUUUAAGCUUUGAUAGUCUUGAUACCGAGGGUGAUAUGAUUGCUGAGCCCCGUGGCUCACAGAAUACUACAAACACAGUUGCAGGUACCGAUGAGUCUGAUGCAGGUGAUGCCACUGAGCUCAAGUGGGAGUUCGAUGAAGACCGUUGCCGUUAUUAUGUUUCCUUUCCGGACGAUCAGUAGUGGUGCCCAGUAGGGUCGAUCGAGACUUAGCUUGGGUGGUUGUCUUCUAUUCGUUUGCUUUCGCCCGUAGCCGGACUCUGUGUUCACCUUGAAUGAUUGUAUUACUUGAUGAUAUUUGUGUGACAUUGUGGCGAUUGUAAGCCAAAGGUCGUAUUCUAUCGAUUCAGUACAUGAGAUGCGCAAAGA
rnacentral:lncRNA from 1 species